rnacentral:rRNA from 8 species
UAGUGGCGAACGGGUGAGUAACACGUGGGCAAUCUGCCCUUCACUCUGGGACAAGCCCUGGAAACGGGGUCUAAUACCGGAUAACACUCUGUCCCGCAUGGGACGGGGUUGAAAGCUCCGGCGGUGAAGGAUGAGCCCGCGGCCUAUCAGCUUGUUGGUGGGGUGAUGGCCUACCAAGGCGACGACGGGUAGCCGGCCUGAGAGGGCGACCGGCCACACUGGGACUGAGACACGGCCCAGACUCCUACGGGAGGCAGCAGUGGGGAAUAUUGCACAAUGGGCGAAAGCCUGAUGCAGCGACGCCGCGUGAGGGAUGACGGCCUUCGGGUUGUAAACCUCUUUCAGCAGGGAAGAAGCGAAAGUGACGGUACCUGCAGAAGAAGCGCCGGCUAACUACGUGCCAGCAGCCGCGGUAAUACGUAGGGCGCAAGCGUUGUCCGGAAUUAUUGGGCGUAAAGAGCUCGUAGGCGGCUUGUUGCGUCGGUUGUGAAAGCCCGGGGCUUAACCCCGGGUCUGCAGUCGAUACGGGCAGGCUAGAGUGUGGUAGGGGAGAUCGGAAUUCCU